UGCAUUAACUUCUUUUCCAUUUCUAUUCUCAGUUCACUUUGAAGGUGAUCCUGCACCUGUGCUAACUCCAGAGGCUCUCCUAGAGAACACAUCCAUGACGUUCCGUCAUUCCCAGGAGCUGCCCUGCCUGAGAAUAAGGUCCAAGCUGAUAAGACUCUAGCAUGGAGGACUUCUCCAUAGCAACCGGGCAUCCUAUGCUGCUGUGCGACCAGCACGCUAGUUUCAUACUAGAGGUUCCAAACAUAGAAGUUAACUAGUGAGAUCAAAAUAAAGACAUAUAAACUCAA